rnacentral:tRNA from 1 species
ACUUUAAUAGUUUAAUUAAGAACAUAGUAUUGAAGCUACUAAAGUACUCAUCUUUAAAGUA